AUGUUUAUAAAUCGCUGAAAGUUGAAUCUGAUAAAAUCAAACUAAAACAAAUCGGUCGAUCUGAAAAGUUUUCGAUUCAUUUAUGACAGUUUAACGAUUCAACACGCAGUUUAGAACUGAUUCAUUUAUGACAGUUUAACGAUUCAACACGCAGUUUAGAACUGACCGUACUAACUGCUUGUUAAACCUUUUAAUAUACUCUAUCGUUGUAUAAUUUUAGUACAGUCAAUUCAUAUAUGAUAAUAGCAAAACAGAAUGAACAGUCGCAGGUUGGUGAUUCACCUACCUGCCUUGCCUUUCUCCUACCCUCUGCCCGCCACGUUGUAAAAAAGGUUUGACAUCUGUUUUUGUGGGUUAAGCUAAAUAUAAGGGGAUGAGAGAGAGAGAGAGGUAUGGAUUGAUGAUGGUGGAGCGGUUAACUGUGAUGACGGAGGACCACCGCCGCGCUGGUGAAGACCAUCUCAUCCGAUCGGCUAUUCCGAGUUGGAUCUUUCCCUCCCCGUCUUUGGUUUCCUCGGCUAAGCACCUGUUGCGUGGAGGGUCGUCGUUGUCGGCGGCCAUUUAAGGCCGUUUCUGGCGGGCAGCGGCUAUUCCGAUGACGCCGGUUGUUGCUGGUGGCUAUUUGACGCUGUUUCUGGCGGCGGUUGUUUCGGGGAGGCCCGUUGUCCGCGGCCGGUUUGAGUCCGUUUCUGGCGGCGUCGGCCUUCAGAUUUCUCCAAGGUCUGUAUGAAUUUCUGGUGGGUGGAGCUUGAUUAUUGGGUUUGUUAUGGAAUAUGAAAUCUGGUGAUCAAAAAGUUGUAAAGGUGGAAUCUUUGCAUGUUAUGAAUACUCAAAGAUCAAGAACAAGAACAUGAAAAAAGGUGGAGAGGUUUUCGGCUUUUCUCCUACCCAACGAUGAUGGUGGCUUGCUACUUGGUAUGGCAACUCCGGUUGCAACCGUAGCGCCACCGUGCGGGUUCAACGACGAUGAUGAUCUUUUCAGAUCUGAGUCGAUUGGUGUUGAUGAUUUCGUUUUUUUGUAUGUUAUGUUUUCUGAGAUUGCUGAAAUAAGGAGUCAUUUGUUGACAUUGAAGGAGUUGUUAUGGUUUCUCUUGAGACUAUUAAAGGCGCCUCUCAGCAGAUGUUGUAGAUGCUAUAAUUUGAUGUCUAUCUUGGACAUGAUUACUGGGAUACAGUUGCAUUCUGAGAUUAUACAUGUCUUGUCAUCAGAUUAGAUACACGUUUGUCUUAUAUAUAUAGGCUGUGGAACGCCUUUUAUACCAGCCAUAGAACUACGACUUCUGCCAGGUGACAUCUAUGUCGAAAGUAUUGAAUUUAAAUCAUUAAACCAUUAUGCACGUUUAAAUACUGGUAAAACAUCUGGAACAGUGAGGUAAACAUUUUUAAAAACUAUUUACUUGUAACAAUCUUUUUGUAGUUACUCCUAAAUCAGGAACUUGUCUGCCAUUGGAUUGAAGGGAGGAAUUAAUCUGGAUUAGCUGAUCUCACAGCAUUGCAAACCUUGUUAAAUUCAAGUAGCGACGAAGAUUCACCGUGUAAACAAGGUUACAACUGUGCUUCCUAUAAAUGUUGAGGAUCCUGCCAGAAGUAAAGUUGAUAUUGAGAUGGCUUUGGAGGCUGGAGAACAAUGUCCUGGGGUGAUGAUGGUGGCUUGCUACAUGACAAGGCAAUUCCGUGUGACCCAUGGUUUGUUGUUCACGGCGAUGACGAUAUGUGAUUCUGAGCCUUUGUUUUGUGACGACAAUGAUGACCCUUUUAGAUCUGAGUCAAAUUGGUUUUGUUGUUUUCAUUUUUCCUUUUUUUAGGUUGAUGUACAAGUUGUAUUAAUGGCGACGGUGAAACUGUUUGAUGAUCGUGGCAGUAGAUGCCUUUGUAUUGACGGCGCAACAGUUGUUGCCGUGAUGAUUUGAUCUUAAUAGUGAUAUUCAAAUACUGAUUAACCCCGCCGCGGAGCGCGGGUGGGAAAAAUCCUAGUUUAUUUAAAAACUGAUUUGGACCAACAAAUCGGCGAAUCCAACCCACCCACCCAACCUAGCCAGUUUAAUUCGCCGUUUGUGGUUAGCGGUUUGGUGCAUAAUUUUCAUCAAAACUAACCGAACUAGACUAUGAACAACCUUUAAAAGCACAACAUACUACAGGUUACAUCCUUCAAAGGUAAGAUUGUUAUUAUUUGACAAUUUUAUUUUUGACAUCAAGAAAGACCAAUAACUCAAUACUUGUAAGCUAGAGCGACACAAGAUGUUCUAACUUGAAAUAACUCUCCUAUAAUUUCUC